AGAGUUUGAUCAUGGCUCAGAGCGAACGCUGGCGGCAGGCCUAACACAUGCAAGUCGAACGAACUCUUCGGAGUUAGUGGCGGACGGGUGAGUAACACGUGGGAACGUGCCUUUAGGUUCGGAAUAGCUCCUGGAAACGGGUGGUAAUGCCGAAUGUGCCCUUCGGGGGAAAGAUUUAUCGCCUUUAGAGCGGCCCGCGUCUGAUUAGCUAGUUGGUGGAGUAAUGGCCCACCAAGGCUACGAUCAGUAGCUGGUCUGAGAGGAUGACCAGCCACAUUGGGACUGAGACACGGCCCAAACUCCUACGGGAGGCAGCAGUGGGGAAUCUUGCGCAAUGGGCGAAAGCCUGACGCAGCCAUGCCGCGUGUAUGAUGAAGGUCUUAGGAUUGUAAAAUACUUUCACCGGUGAAGAUAAUGACUGUAGCCGGAGAAGAAGCCCCGGCUAACUUCGUGCCAGCAGCCGCGGUAAUACGAAGGGGGCUAGCGUUGCUCGGAAUUACUGGGCGUAAAGGGAGCGUAGGCGGACAUUUAAGUCAGAGGUGAAAUCCCGGAGCUUAACUUCGGAACUGCCUUUGAUACUGGGUGUCUUGAGUGUGAGAGAGGUAUGUGGAACUCCGAGUGUAGAGGUGAAAUUCGUAGAUAUUCGGAAGAACACCAGUGGCGAAGGCGACAUACUGGCUCAUUACUGACGCUGAGGCUCGAAAGCGUGGGGAGCAAACAGGAUUAGAUACCCCGGUAGUCCAA
rnacentral:rRNA from 1 species